UAAAACGUAGGGGGCGAGCGUUAUCCGGAAUCACUGGGCGUAAAGGGCGUCUAGGCGGCUCAGUAAGUCUUGUGUGAAAUCUCCCGGCUCAACUGGGAGGGUGCAUGGGAAACUGCGGAGCUAGAGACUUGGAGGGGGGUGCGGAAUUCCCGGUGGAGCGGUGAAAUGCGUUGAUAUCGGGAGGAACACCUGAGGCGAAGGCGGCACCCUGGCCAAGGUCUGACGCUGAAGCGCGAAAGCGUGGGGAGCGAACGGGAUUAGAUACCCCGGUAGUCCACGCUGUAAACGAUGACAACUAGGUGUCGGGGAUCCAAGGAUGCUCGGUGCCGCAGCUAACGCGGUAAGUUGUCCGCCUGGGGAGUACGGCCGCAAGGCUA
rnacentral:rRNA from 1 species